rnacentral:rRNA from 1 species
AGCGAACGCUGGCGGCAGGCUUAACACAUGCAAGUCGAGCGCCCCGCAAGGGGAGCGGCAGACGGGUGAGUAACACGUGGGAACGUACCUUUUGGUUCGGAACAACACAGGGAAACUUGUGCUAAUACCGGAUAAGCCCUUACGGGGAAAGAUUUAUCGCCGAAAGAUCGGCCCGCGUCUGAUUAGCUAGUUGGUGAGGUAAUGGCUCACCAAGGCUACGAUCAGUAGCUGGUCUGAGAGGAUGAUCAGCCACACUGGGACUGAGACACGGCCCAGACUCCUACGGGAGGCAGCAGUGGGGAAUAUUGGACAAUGGGGGCAACCCUGAUCCAGCCAUGCCGCGUGAGUGAUGAAGGCCCUAGGGUUGUAAAGCUCUUUUAACGGGGAAGAUAAUGACGGUACCCGUAGAAUAAGCCCCGGCUAACUUCGUGCCAGCAGCCGCCGUAAUAC